rnacentral:rRNA from 1 species
GAUGAACGCUGGCGGCGUGCUUAACACAUGCAAGUCGAACGGAAAGGCCCUGCUCUUGCUGGGCUCUCGAUAGGCGAACGGGUGAGUAACACGCGAGUAUCCCGUCCCUGUCUUUGGGAUAUCUUCAGGAAACUGGGGCUAUUAUCGGAUAGGAGCUCUUGCUGCAUGUUGUGGGAUGGAAAGUUUCGGCGGUUGGGGCUGGACUCGCGGCUUACCCGCUUGUUUGGGUGGUAGUGGCUUACCAAGGCUUUGACGGGUAGCCUGCCUGAGAGGGUGACCGGCCACAUUGGGACUGAGAUACGGCCCAGACUCCUACGGGAGGCAGCAGUGGGGAAUAUUGCACAAUGAGCGGAAGCCUGAUGCAGCAGCGCCGCGUGCGGGAUGACGGCCUUCGGGUUGUAAACCGCUUUCGCCGGUGACGAAGCGUGAGUGACGGUAAUGGGUAAAGAAGCACCGGCUAACUACGUG